rnacentral:rRNA from 1 species
AUUGAACGCUGGCGGCAUGCUUUACACAUGCAAGUCGAACGGCAGCGCGGGCUUCGGCCUGGCGGCGAGUGGCGAACGGGUGAGUAAUGCAUCGGAACGUGCCCAGUAGUGGGGGAUAGCCCGGCGAAAGCCGGAUUAAUACCGCAUACGACCUGAGGGUGAAAGCGGGGGACCGAAAGGCCUCGCGCUAUUGGAGCGGCCGAUGUCGGAUUAGCUAGUUGGUGGGGUAAAGGCUUACCAAGGCGACGAUCCGUAGCUGGUCUGGGAGGACGACCAGCCACACUGGGACUGGGACACGGCCCAGACUCCUACGGGAGGGCGCAGUGGGGAAUUUUGGGCAAUGGGGGCAAACCUGAUCCAGCCAUGCCGCGUGCGGGAAGAAGGCCUUCGGGUUUUAAACCCCUUUUGUUCGGGAAGAAAUUCUCUGGGCUUAAACCCCCGGGGGAUGACGGUACCGGAAGAAUAAGCACCGGCUAACUACGUG